AACCGUGGUAAUUCUAGAGCUAAUACAUGCUUAAAACCCCGACUCCGGAAGGGGUGUAUUUAUUAGAUAAAAAACCAAUGCCCUCCGGGGCUCCUUGGUGAUUCAUAAUAACUCAACGAAUCGCAUGGCCUUGCGCCGGCGAUGGUUCAUUCAAAUUUCUGCCCUAUCAACUUUCGAUGGUAGGGUUUUGGCCUACCAUGGUCUCAACGGGUAACGGGGAAUUAGGGUUCUAUUCCGGAGAGGGAGCCUGAGAAACGGCUACCACAUCCAAGGAAGGCAGCAGGCGCGCAAAUUACCCAAUCCCAAUACGGGGAGGUAGUGACAAUAAAUACUGAUACAGGGCUCUUUCGGGUCUUGUAAUUGGAAUGAGUACAAUCUAAAUCCCUUAACGAGGAUCAAUUGGAGGGCAAGUCUGGUGCCAGCAGCCGCGGUAAUUCCAGCUCCAAUAGCGUAUAUUAAAGUUGUUGCAGUUAAAAAGCUCGUAGUUGAACCUUGGGUCUGGCUGAUCUGUCUUCCUAACCGUUGCACGGAUUCGGUCGGACCUUUCCUUCUGGGGAAACCUAUGCCCUUCAUUGGGUGUAGCGGGGAACCAGGACUUUUACCUUGAAAAAAUUAGAGUGUUCAAAGCAGGCCUUUGCUCGAAUACAUUAGCAGGAAUAAUAGAAUAGG
rnacentral:rRNA from 1 species